rnacentral:rRNA from 1 species
GUCGAACGCUUCUUUCCUCCCGAGUGCUUGCACUCAAUUGGAAAGAGGAGUGGCGGACGGGUGAGUAACACGUGGGUAACCUACCCAUCAGAGGGGGAUAACACUUGGAAACAGGUGCUAAUACCGCAUAACAGUUUAUGUCGCAUGGCAUAAGAGUGAAAGGCGCUUUCGGGUGUCGCUGAUGGAUGGACCCGCGGUGCAUUAGCUAGUUGGUGAGGUAACGGCUCACCAAGGCCACGAUGCAUAGCCGACCUGAGAGGGUGAUCGGCCACACUGGGACUGAGACACGGCCCAGACUCCUACGGGAGGUAGCAGUAGGGAAUCUUCGGCAAUGGACGAAAGUCUGACCGAGCAACGCCGCGUGAGUGAAGAAGGUUUUCGGAUCGUAAAACUCUGUUGUUAGAGAAGAACAAGGACGUUAGUAACUGAACGUCCCCUGACGGUAUCUAACCAGAAAGCCACGGCUAACUACGUGCCAGCAGCCGCGGUAAUACGUAGGUGGCAAGCGUUGUCCGGAUUUAUUGGGCGUAAAGCGAGCGCAGGCGGUUUCUUAAGUCUGAUGUGAAAGCCCCCGGCUCAACCGGGGAGGGUCAUUGGAAACUGGGAGACUUGAGUGCAGAAGAGGAGAGUGGAAUUCCAUGUGUAGCGGUGAAAUGCGUAGAUAUAUGGAGGAACACCAGUGGCGAAGGCGGCUCUCUGGUCUGUAACUGACGCUGAGGCUCGAAAGCGUGGGGAGCAA